GAGAGAAUGAUGAAAGAAAUUAUGCGGUUUCCUCUCGGUUGAUAUUAUUACUUUUUAGUAAUAAAUGAUAUUAAUCAAUUAGCGAAUUCUGACUCUC